CUUCCUCGAUCUGCUGCGGGCAGAUGAAGUGGAUAUGAGCGUCCAUGCCGCCGGCGGUGAUGAUCUUGCCUUCGGCCGCGAUCGCCUCGGUGCCCGGUCCGACGAUGAUAUCGACGCCGCCCUGCGUAUCCGGAUUGCCCGCCUUGCCGAUGGCGCAGAUGCGCCCGUCCUUGAUGCCGAUAUCGGCCUUCACGAUGCCCCAGUGAUCGAUGAUCAGCGCAUUGGUGAUGACGAUGUCGACAGCGCCUUCCGCACGCGUUGCCUGGGAUUGACCCAUGCCAUCGCGGAU
rnacentral:sRNA from 1 species